rnacentral:tRNA from 1 species
GGGGGUGUGGUGUAGCGGCUCUGCACAUCUGGCUUUGACCCAGAAGGUGAACGUUCGACACGUUCCGCCUCCGCCA